rnacentral:rRNA from 1 species
GACGUAGGGUGCGAGCGUUGUCCGGAUUUAUUGGGCGUAAAGCGCGUGUAGGCGGUUUGUUAAGUCUGUUGUGAAAGCCCUGGGCUCAACCCGGGAAGUGCACUGGAUACUGGCAGACUUGAAUACGGGAGAGGAGAGUGGAAUUCCUGGUGUAGGAGUGAAAUCCGUAGAUAUCAGGAGGAACACCGGUGGCGAAGGCGGCUCUCUGGACCGAUAUUGACGCUGAGACGCGAAAGCGUGGGGAGCAAACAGG